rnacentral:lncRNA from 1 species
UAUGUCUUUAAGGAGAAAGUACAUGCAAGAAACAAAAUGAUGUGUCUUUAAAAACUGUUUGUGUUUAACAUCAGAGUCUGUGUGAGAAAGAGAAAGACAGAGACAGAGAUGGCAUGAGGAUGAAGUCAAGAGACAACUUUGUGGAGUUUUUUCUCUCCUUCCAUCUUUACUUGGAUUCUAGGAAUGGAACCAAGAUACCCAGGCCACAUUUGGGGUGAUCCUUCCCACAUCAGUUAACACAAUCUCCACCAUUCCUCAGUUUUGUCCAGUGGCAGAGAUCUUGGUAACUUCGGCUGACCAUAAGAGCCACAUUGGAAAUGGAAAUAUAGGCAGAGGAAGACAUGCUGGGCUGGUUAGUUUCUGUCAACUCAGCACAAACUAAGGUCACCUGGGAUGAGAGGACCCUCAGUGGAGGGCGUGCUUCCAACCUAUUGUCAUGAUCGGGUAAAAGGAACAGCCUAACCUCCUCCAGACUAUGCUUUCACUGUACCUGACUGCAUCUUGAGCAGAGAUUUCUAAAUGAAAAAGGAAGUGCACACUGGUAAAGGAAAGGGGACACAGGAAAACCGUAACACUCAGAAUACUUGGAAAUAAGGGAGUUCCCAGAGUUUGCUAACUAAGGCAAGAAAGCCCGUCCUGAGUCCAUAGACUGAGUGCUGAAUGGAAAAAGAAAAAGACCACUAUAAUAGACACUGCUUCCUGGAUGCUGUUCUAGUCACCUGAGAUGUUCUAGUCACCACACCUUUCUGCCAUGCUGAAUGGAAGUCCAUGAAACAGUGCUCAACCAUUAA